rnacentral:rRNA from 1 species
GUAUGCUCUAACAUGCAAGUCGUACGGGAGUUUUUAACUCAAGUGGCGGACGGGUGAGUAACACGUAAGAAUUUACCUUUAGGAGGGGGAUAACACAUGGAAACAGGUGCUAAUACCCCAUAUGCUUUCGAGUGAAAUGGAUUUUUCCGCCUAGAGAGAAGCUUGCGGCUGAUUAGCUUGUUGGUGAGGUAAUGGCUCACCAAGGCGACGAUCAGUAUCUGGUUUGAGAGGACGAUCAGACACACUGGAACUGAGACACGGUCCAGACUCCUACGGGAGGCAGCAGUGGGGAAUUUUCCGCAAUGGGCGAAAGCCUGACGGAGCAAUACCGCGUGAGGGAUGACGGCCUAUGGGUUGUAAACCUCUUUUUUCAGGGAGGAAUCAAUGACGUGUACCUGAAGAAUAAGCAUCGGCUAACCCCGUGCCAGCAGCCGCGGUAAGACGGGGGAUGCAAGUGUUAUCCGGAAUCACUGGGCGUAAAGCGUCUGUAGGUGGUUUUAUAAGUCAACUGUUAAAUCUCGAGGCCCAACCUCGAAAUCGCAGUCGAAACU